GAUGAACGCUGGCGGCGUGCCUAAUACAUGCAAGUCGAGCGAACAGACGAGGAGCUUGCUCCUCUGACGUUAGCGGCGGACGGGUGAGUAACACGUGGAUAACCUACCUAUAAGACUGGGAUAACUUCGGGAAACCGGAGCUAAUACCGGAUAAUAUAUUGAACCGCAUGGUUCAAUAGUGAAAGACGGUUUUGCUGUCACUUAUAGAUGGAUCCGCGCCGCAUUAGCUAGUUGGUAAGGUAACGGCUUACCAAGGCGACGAUGCGUAGCCGACCCGAGAGGGGGAUCGGCCACACUGGAACUGAGACACGGUCCAGACUCCACGGGAGGCAGCAGUAGGGAAUCUUCCGCAAUGGGCGAAAGCCUGACGGAGCAACGCCGCGUGAGUGAUGAAGGUCUUCGGAUCGUAAAACUCUGUUAUUAGGGAAGAACAAAUGUGUAAGUAACUAUGUACGUCUUGACGGUACCUAAUCAGAAAGCCACGGCUAACUACGUG
rnacentral:rRNA from 1 species